rnacentral:rRNA from 1 species
UACGGGGGGAGCAAGCGUUGUUCGGAUUUACUGGGCGUAAAGGGCGCGUAGGCGGCCUCUGCAAGUCGACUGUGAAAUCUCCGGGCUUAACCCGGAAAGGUCAGCCGAUACUGCAGGGCUAGAGUGCAGAAGGGGCAACUGGAAUUCUCGGUGUAGCGGUGAAAUGCGUAGAUAUCGAGAGGAACACCUGCGGCGAAGGCGGGUUGCUGGGCUGACACGUGACGCUGACAGCGCGAAAGCUAGGGGAGCGAACGGG